UACGUAGGCAGCGAGCGUUGUUCGGAAUUACUGGGCGUAAAGCGUGCGUAGGUGGUUCGUUAAGUCUGUCGUGAAAGCCCCGGGCUCAACCUGGGAAUGGCGAUGGAUACUGGCGGGCUAGAGUGCGGUAGAGGAGAGUGGAAUUCCCGGUGUAGCAGUGAAAUGCGUAGAGAUCGGGAGGAACAUCAGUUGCGAAGGCGGCUCUCUGGACCAGCACUGACACUGAGGCACGAAAGCGUGGGGAGCAAACAGG
rnacentral:rRNA from 1 species